rnacentral:rRNA from 1 species
AACGAACGCUGGCGGCAUGCCUAACACAUGCAAGUCGAACGAGACCUUCGGGUCUAGUGGCGCACGGGUGCGUAACGCGUGGGAACCUGCCCUUAGGUUCGGAAUAACUCCCCGAAAGGGGUGCUAAUACCGGAUAAUGUCUUCGGACCAAGGAUUUAUCGCCUUUGGAUGGGCCCGCGUUGGUUUAGCUAGUUGGUAGGGUAAAAGCCUACCAAGGCGACGAUCCAUAGCUGGUCUGAGAGGAUGAUCAGCCACACUGGGACUGAGACACGGCCCAGACUCCUACGGGAGGCAGCAGUAGGGAAUAUUGGACAAUGGGCGAAAGCCUGAUCCAGCAAUGCCGCGUGAUUGAUGAAGGCCUUAGGGUUGUAAAGCUCUUUUACCCGGGAUGAUAAUGACAGUACCGGGAGAAUAAGCUCCGGCUAACUCCGUG